AAACGGUUCAUUAUUUGGACUCUCCUACGACAAGAUAUGAAUCAUUUGUUACAAGCACGUAAAGCUGAAAUUUAUGCAACUAAGAUAAAAGUCGAACAAUGUAAAGCAAAAGAGAAGCUAAAAUAUUUAAACCCUCGAAGUCUCCAUGUUGAAGUCUUCAAGUGUAUUCAAGUUGAAGUCCCCAAGUUGAAACCUUCAAGUCCGUCGCUCUUCAAGUUGAAAUCUUCAAAUUCGCUGAUCGUCAAGUUGAAAUAUUUAGGCCCUCCAAGUCUCAAAGUUGAAGUCUUCAAGUUCGUCGGUCUUCAAGUUUCAGUCUUCAAAUUCGUCGGUCUUAAAGUUGAAUUGUUUAAGCCCUCCAAAUCUUCGAGUUGAAGUCUGCAAAGUCCGCCAAAUCUUCAAAGUUUUCCAAGUGUUCAAGUCGAUGUCAUCUUUGAGUUGAAGCUUUAUAACUUUCCAAUCUUAAGGUGGACAUAUAAGUCCCUUUCCACCUUAAGUUGGCCUCGCCGAUAGUCGAGCCACAUUGCGAGUAAUCUCUCUAAUAGUCAGGACACAUUGAGAGUAAUCUCUCCCAUAAUCGGGUCGUUUUGAGAGUAAUCUCUCCGAUAGUCAAGCCACAUUCUGUGGACAUAUAAGUUUUCUAAUCUUAAGAUGGACAUAUAAGUCCCUUUGCACCUUAAGUUGGCCUCACCGAUAGUCGAGCCACAUUGAAAGUAAUCUCUCCGAUAGUCAGGCCAUAUUGAGAGUAAUCUCUUAGAUAGUCGGGUCAUUUUGAGAGUAAUCUCUCCUAUAGUCAAGCCACAUUCUGUGGACAUAUAAGUCUUCCAACCUUAAGGUGGACAUAUAAGUCCCUUUGCACCUUAAGUUGGCCUCUCGAGGGUUUGUCCUUAAAAGGAACUAUAACUUUCCAAUCUUAAGGUGGACAUAUGAGUCCCUUUGCACCUUAAGUUGGCCUCGCCGAUAGUCGAGCCAUAUUGAGAGUAAUCUCUCUAAUAGUCAGGCCACAUUGAGAGUAAUUUCUCCGAUAGUCGGGCCACAUUGAGAUUAAUCUCUCCGAUAAUCGGGCAAUUAAGAGUAAUCUCUCCGAUAUUUGGGCAGGGAUGAGUAAAUACCCUAAGAACGCCUUCUUCAUGUGUAGAUCAUUUUGUUGAACAAGAGCAUAUCUUUCUCGCCUGACCUAUAAAAAAAGGUAAAAAGACAACAAAGGAAAAAAAACACAAGAAAAGAAGAAGAAAUUACCUUCACAUUAAUGCUUCUGAGUCCGCAAAAGUAGACUCAGUAUGACUUACGAAU
rnacentral:lncRNA from 1 species